rnacentral:rRNA from 1 species
AUUGAACGCUGGCGGAAUGCUUUACACAUGCAAGUCGAACGGCAGCACGGACUUCGGUCUGGUGGCGAGUGGCAAACGGGUGAGUAAUGUAUCGGAACGUGCCCAGUCGUGGGGAAUAACGUAGUGAAAAUUACGCUAAUACCGCAUACGAUCUAUGGAUGAAAGCGGGGGAUCGCAAGACCUCGCGCGAUUGGAGCGGCCGAUAUCAGAUUAGGUAGUUGGUGGGGUAAAGGCCCACCAAGCCAACGAUCUGUAGCUGGUCUGAGAGGACGACCAGCCACACUGGAACUGAGACACGGUCCAGACUCCUACGGGAGGCAGCAGUGGGGAAUUUUGGACAAUGGGCGAAAGCCUGAUCCAGCCAUUCCGCGUGCAGGAUGAAGGCCCUCGGGUUGUAAACUGCUUUUGUACAGAACGAAAAGGUUUCUACUAAUACUAGGAGCUCAUGACGGUACUGUAAGAAUAAGCACCGGCUAACUACGUGCCAGCCGCCGCUGUAA